rnacentral:rRNA from 1 species
UACGGAGGGUGCGAGCGUUGUCCGGAAUCACUGGGCGUAAAGGGCGCGUAGGCGGUUUGUCGCGUCUGCCGUGAAAGUCCGGGGCUCAACUCCGGAUCUGCGGUGGGUACGGGCAGACUAGAGUGAUGUAGGGGAGACUGGAAUUUACGGUGUAGCAGUGAAAUGCGUAGAGAUCGUAAGGAAGACCAGUGGCGAAGGCGGGUCUCUGGACAGUUCCUGACACUGAGGCACGAAGGCCAGGGGAGCAAACGGG